AUACGGAGGGUGCAAGCGUUGUUCGGAUUUACUGGGCGUAAAGAGAGUGUAGGUUGUUUAUUAAGUCGGAUGUGAAAUCCCGGGGCUCAACCUCGGAACUGCAUUCGAUACUGGUAGACUAGAGUUCGGGAGGGGUAAGCGGAAUUCCGUGUGUAGCAGUGAAAUGCGUAGAUAUACGGAGGAACACCUGAGGCGAAGGCGGCUUACUGGACCGAUACUGACACUGAGACUCGAAAGCGUGGGUAGCAAACAGGAUUAGAAACCCCAGUAGUCC
rnacentral:rRNA from 1 species